AUUGAACGCUGGCGGCAUGCCUUACACAUGCAAGUCGAACGGCAGCACGGGAGCAAAUCCUGGUGGCGAGUGGCGAACGGGUGAGUAAUAUAUCGGAACGUGCCCGGUCGUGGGGAUAACGUAGCGAAAGCUACGCUAAUACCGCAUACGAUCUACGGAUGAAAGCGGGGGAUCGCAAGACCUCGCGCGAAUUGGAGCGGCCGAUAUCAGAUUAGGUAGUUGGUGAGGUAAAGGCUCACCAAGCCGACGAUCUGUAGCUGGUCUGAGAGGACGACCAGCCACACUGGGACUGAGACACGGCCCAGACUCCUACGGGAGGCAGCAGUGGGGAAUUUUGGACAAUGGGCGGCAAAGCCUGAUCCAGCAAAUGCCGCGUGCAGGAUGAAGGCCUCGG
rnacentral:rRNA from 1 species